CGGGGUGUAGUUCAGAUGGCUAGAACGUGCGGCUGGGGGUCGCAAGGUCGGCAGUUCAAGUCUGCCCACCCCGA
rnacentral:tRNA from 7 species